rnacentral:lncRNA from 1 species
CAUAGAUUACAAGGAGGCCGUCAUCAACAUCAUCCAUCUCCUUCCGUUUCCAUGCCCUCUCCAGAAGCUCAUGGUCGACAGUUUACCGCCUGAUGACUACCAUGGCUGUAACUUAUACAGGAGGAUUCCUGCAAAAAUAGUAAGCUGCUCAAAAGAGUUUACACCAAGUGGUACCUCUCCAGUUCCGUACGAACUUGACCAUCUCCAGAAUGCUGCCGAAAAUAUCUUCGGCCCAAUAUCCUGCCUUAGCGGCACAGGACAGUACUUCUCAUAUUUGGUGCAUGCUCAGCUAUACAUGUAUUUGCUUCCAUUGGAUUGCAGGAUCGUCUCCAGAGGCUCCAUUCCAAUUCCUGGCUCAGACUCCUGCAGUGGCCCAACGUUCAAGGAAAAAGCAGAAAAAUUCAUCAACUUUGCUGAGACGACUGUCAGUUGGGGGUCCUUUCAAGAUGGAGUUCUCGACAACUGCAUGGCGUGUGAACGUCAAAAGCAACUCUGUGCAUUCAGCUCACGAAGGAAUCAAACAUUCUGCACAAGCCACGGCAAUCAUCAUGGUACUAACUAUCCUAACUGCACAAACAUGAUCGUACCACCCAGCUUUGUUCCUGAACUAGUUUUCUACUCUUACUAUGAUUCAAGCAUUCAGCCAUACAGUACUAGUGCACCGCUCUCAAUACAUAUGCUCAAAACUAUUUUUGCAGGCUAGUAGCCUACUACUAGAAAUCAUUUAGGGAACUAACUAGCUUCAUCAAACAUUUUUGCACAAUUGCCAUAAAAGUGUCACAAUAUUUAGUAAAAUAAUGAUAGAAUUAUCUUGAUCAACUAGCAGCAGUUGGACGAUACAUGACAUUAAAGAUCAUAAAACCUGGGACUUCUCAAAGAUAUUUGCUAGAAUUGAUAUUGUCUAUGAACUUAUUGAGACUGCCUCUAUAAGACUUCCUUAUGGUUUCCUCUAGAAGUAGAAAGUAGCUCGAAUAUGUAAACAAGACUGCAAGGGAACACUUGACUGGGACAAGAUAUAAUCUAAGUUUUUUUUUAUUUUUUUGCCAGGUCGGCGAAAGGAAGCCGACCAAAAUUCAUUAAGAUAAAGGAAUAAUUACAGAGGUAUACACGAUAUAAUCUAAGUUUUGGUUUGUUACCUGAUAUAACAGGAGCUGCAGUUAGAUCUUUGGUUGCUUUGAUAAUAGAUUAGUAGACAUGGGAGGUGAUAUGUGGAAGCCUUUAUAAUUUAGCCCAUAACCCACCUCAACUCAUCCUAAUCAUCCUUAUCUGGCAUGACAAAAAUACGAGAGUUAGCACACAGAACUGUCUUAUGAUGAUACUGCAAAAUAAGAUGUAAGGAAAAUUUCACUAUUGCAAAUAUAUUCAUAUGAUCAUGGUGCAUAAAAAUUUAGAGCCAAAACUCUAUCCUACCCCACCAGGGCCAUGUUCGCUGAUACAUUUUGUUGGAUUGCUCUGUUUUUAUUUUCAAGAUGUAAUUAUCCAUUAUCUGUUAAAACCACCAACCAGAACUUAUUAUCUUCGUUCAUACUUGCAGGUUAGCGUGUGAAAGUCAUUUCAGGUACUGCAGUACUCAAACCUACCUUUCUAUUAAAAAGAGAAAAGAAACAAUGUUAUCAGUACAUAUAAAUUCUUAUUGCUAGCAGUUCUGAGUCUUCUGACUCAGCAUUCUUCUGCUAAAAAAGACACCACCUGCUCUUACAGUACCCAUCAGGCAAUCACAAUCAGUUGAUUACUAGCCACAACUUUCGAUCCUAAUGCAAUGUGCUAAUUUCCCCUUCUCUGUUAAUUCAGCUACAUCAUCGGUAGCCGCAUUUGUUGUUUUUUCGUUCAUCAUGGCCACAGCACUCUAUCUUUCACUGAAGUCAAGGUAUGAUGAAGAGGUACAUUUGAAGGUUGAAAUGUUCCUCAGGACAUAUGGCACAUCGAAGCCCACAAGGUACAGUUUCUCUGAUGUUAAGAAGAUAACGAGACGCUUCAAGGAACAAUUAGGUCAGGGUGGAUUUGGAAGUGUAUACAAAGGACGACUACCAAACGGAGUGCCUGUGGCAGUUAAAAUGAUAGAACACUCUACAGGAAAUGGAGAAGAGUUCAUCAAUGAAGUAGCAACAAUUGGACAAAUUCAUCAUAUAAACAUUGCCCGCCUUCUGGGAUUCUGCUCUGAAGGAACACGGCACAUUCUUAUCUAUGAAUUCAUGCCUAAUGAAUCAUUGGAGAAAUGCAUAUUCUUGCAUGACCCUAAUACUUCUCAAGAACUCCUAGCACCAAAAAAGAUGUUAGAUGUUGCCUUAGGCAUUGCCCGAGGAAUGGAGUAUCUUCAUCAAGGAUGCAACCAACGCAUCCUCCAUUUUGAUAUCAAGCCUAAUAAUAUAUUGCUUGACUAUAACUUCAAUCCGAAGAUUUCAGACUUUGGUCUUGCAAAGCUGUGUGCAAGGGACCAAAGCAUUGUUACCUUGACCAAAGCAAGAGGCACGAUGGGCUACAUUGCACCAGAGCUAUAUUCUAGGAACUUUGGGGAGAUAUCUUACAAGUCAGAUGUAUAUAGUUUUGGCAUGCUUGUGUUAGAAAUGGUGAGUGGAAGGAGAAACUCAGACCCGAGUAUUGAGAACCAAAAUGAGGUCUACUUUCCAGAGUGGAUCUAUGAGAAAGUAAUUACUGAGCAGGACUUUGUACUUAGUAGGGAAAUGACAGAAGAAGUAGACUGAAGGUUAGACAGAUGGCCCUCGUGGCACUGUGGUGCAUUCAGUGGAACCCAAGAAACCGUCCCACAAUGACGAAGGUUGUAAACAUGCUAACUGGAAGGUUGCAGAAUAUAGAGGUGCCCCCUAAGCCAUUUGUUUCAUAUGAAAGCCAUGUUGUGCCAUAAAUCAUAGUAAUGUUAUGGGAGUUAUACUUAGUUGACGUGCUGCAUAGUAAUGCUGAUUAACUGUAUGAAGUAUGAAUCGUCGCUCUUUAUUACCAUGUAUUAAAAGUAAUAAGAAACACAUCAGUUGAUGUGAUUACCUUGUUCAGUUGUUGCGAUGUAUAUCUCCAUCCAACCACGGUGUGCAGAGUACUCCUCGCUGUACUAUUUCAGUAAGAUGCCGUCCUCGUCCGUUUCAUGGGUCCAUAUCUAGUGGCUUGCAAGAAAAUCCUGCAAGGAAAUUGAAUUAUGGCAAUUUUUCCCAUGCAGCACAAAUAUAAAAUAUCGAAGCAAAGAGUAUUAUUUUUGUCUGUUUGUCCGUGCGAACGGCCGACUAGGGUAACAUUCAUACCCUGAAUUCGUCACUGAAUAAAGAAGUAGAUUCAUAUCCUAAAUUCCUCACUGAACUAAGAAGUAUAAUAAGUUAAGUUGGCUUGGUCACAUUCCUAUCCAUCCCAUUCAAAAAGUCAGGGCCCGCCUAUCUAUCUGAUGGAAAUCUCACAGCAAACAGGAUGCUGCUGGGCAAGCAAUCGAGGAGCUACGAAUUUGCAAUGUGAAGAGAUGAAUGGGCAUGGACUCGACUAGUGAAUAAGUACACUUUAAUAAAAACUUAGGAAAAAUAAUCAAAAGCAGAGGAAACGGGCUACCUUUAUCAAUGCAAGGAGGGGGCAGCGAACCGAACAACCACCGGAUCAGGAGACCUCCCCGAGUUCUGUCAAUCCUGCGGCUCGGCGUGGCAUCCCGCUUGGGGCCUGGAUUUGCGGCUCGGGUCUCACAAGGACGCAGGGAGAAGGCGACGCAUAGCCCGGGCAACGCGCAUUGACGGCGGAGCGCAAAGCAGAGACAUCGCCGGGGAAGCAGAGGCGGCUGGGAGUCGGUGGGAUCGCCGGCGACGGCGAAGGGUUCGUGGCAAGAGAGGGAGGAAAGGGGAUUCCGUACGGUUUGCAACCAGAAACUAAGCUCGGCCUAGGGCUAGUAAUGGGGCCGGCCCUAAAGCUCCUGCCGCUA